CCCAACACCACUCCAGCUUCUGCCAGACAGAUGGAACUCUCCAAUAUGAAAAUCUGCGCAGCCAUUCCAACAAGCAGGACUCUGCGCGAGGUUGUCCGAAAGAUGCGGAGGAAAAAGACUUAAGGACUGGCAGCGCUCUUACCCCAAGAUCGAAGUUUCUCAUUGGUCAGUACAAUGAAGGUUGAUGGCAUGAUGGUCCACCUCGCACCAAAGGAUAACUGUUCAUCGGUGUGCUGUUAACAAUCAGAGGUUUCCAAAUAUAUGUUCUCCAACUCAAUGAAAAGUAGCUGGAUCCAGGCAGAAAGGUGUCUGGGAACUCCCUAAGUAUGAAUGAUAUGUCUCCAGAGAAAGUUGCUUCAGCAUUGUUUUUUGGGGGAGAGGGGAUACUUUUCUCUACAGUAUCCUGCAGACUGUAAACUACUAAAUAGGUUCCUAAGUUCAUUCAUCUUUCCCAUGUCUGAAUUCUUGGUCCUCUUCCCACCCUCUGGCUCCACAGAUAAAGAAGAAAUAAUAAUAA